CUGCUCUGAAAAGCCAUCUUUGCAUUGUUCCUCGCCUGGCUCCUUGCUCACUGCAGCCGCCUCAGCCAGGCGCCUCCUUCCCUGCUGCGGACUCCGGCAGCUUUAUCACCAGAGUCCCUGACUCGCCUUCUUUUUAAUCCCUUGCAUUGGAUCACCGGCGUGCCCCGCCAUGUCAGACGCAGCCGUAGACAUCAGCUCCAAAAUCACCACCAAGGACUUGAAGGAGAAGAAGGAAGUUGUGGAGGAGGUGGAAAAUGGAAGAGAUGCCCCUGCUAACGGGAAUGCUAAUGAGGAAAAUGGGGAGCAGGAGGCUGACAAUGAGGUAGAUGAAGAAGAAGGUGGGGAGGAAGAGGAGGAGGAAGAAAGUGAUGGUGAGGAGGAGGAUGGAGAUGAAGAUGGGAGGCUGAGUCUGCUACGGGCGAGUGGGCAGCUGCAGAUGCUGAGGAUGACUAUGUGGAUACCAAGAAGCAGAAGACUGACGAGGAUGACUAGACAGCAAAAAAGGAAAACUUAAACUAAAAAAAAAAAAAAAAAAAGCUGCCGUGACCU